rnacentral:rRNA from 1 species
UUGUUGCAGUUAAAAAGCUCGUAGUUGGAUUUCUGGCAGAGUGACUCCGGCCGCAGCAUUGCGAGUUGGGAGCGCCCUACCAUCCUUCGGUUAACCUUUACGGAAUUCACUUUCUGUGCUGGGGCUCCGAUAUUUUACCUUGAGAAAAUUAGAGUGUUUCUGGCAGGCUAUAGCCGGAAUACAUUAGCAUGGAAUAAUGGAAAAGGACUACUACCUCUUCUGUUGGUCUGGGAGGCAGCAGUAAUGAUUAAUAGGGAUAGUUGGGGGCAUUAGUACUUAAUAGCAAGAGGUGAAAUUCUCUGAUUUGUUAAAGACUAACUUAUGCGAAAGCAUUUGCCAAGGAUGUUUUCAUUAAUCAAGAACGAAAGUUAGGGGAUCAAAGACGAUCAGAUACCGUCCUAGUCUUAACCAUAAACUAUGCCGACUCGGGAUCGGAGGCACGCAAAAUCGGUCUUCGGCACCGUAUGAGAGAUCAAAGUCUUUGGGUUCUGGGGGGAGUGUGGUC